GAUCCAAUGGCACAGUGGUUAGUGCGCCUGUGUGUCGUUUGAUGUCGACCAAGUGUCAUGAGGCAGGAGGCUCGCGUUCGAUCCGUGGUUGGGUCA